rnacentral:lncRNA from 1 species
GUAAUAAUAUAAGCAAAAGGGGCCUUGCUGUUCUCAGUUCAUGCUGGCGUGUCAAUAGAGUGUGAUUUGCAACCUGGCACUCUGCUCCGAACAGGCUGCUGAUAACAGUCAUUACUCACUGUCUCUAGAGGGUCCUUCUCGGCGCUCGGGGCUGACUAACCAGCAAACAGCCACCUUGACAGCCCAGCUCCCAUGUAGCAGCUCUGAUUCCUUGAUCAUUCCUUCGGAACACCUGAGAAGAAGUCCUAAAAUGACAUCCUUUUCCUUCCUGAGAUCUGGUGUUCCAUCGACAUUUGGGGAGACAAAUUUAGUGAUCUCAGGGUAUCCAAUUUGCUUUUGA